UGAAACAAUGUUAAACGAACACGGCUCUCCACAAUGGUAUGAUAUUGUCUCUUCGAGCAUAAGCUCUUGUGGUUUUGCUUUGUGUUUCC